rnacentral:rRNA from 1 species
GGUUGCGAUCAUACCAGCACUAAUGCACCGGAUCCCAUCAACACUCCGUAGUUAAGCGUGCGUGGGUGAGAGUAGUACUAGGAUGGGUGACCCCCUGGGAAGUCCUCGUGUUGCAACUC